AUUGAACGCUGGCGGAAUGCUUUACACAUGCAAGUCGAACGGUAGAGGGGGCAACCCCUUGAGAGUGGCGAACGGGUGAGUAAUAUAUCGGAACGUGCCCAGUCGUGGGGGAUAACGUAGCGAAAGUUACGCUAAUACCGCAUACGAUCUAUGGAUGAAAGCGGGGGAUCGCAAGACCUCGCGCGAUUGGAGCGGCCGAUAUCAGAUUAGGUAGUUGGUGGGGUAAAGGCCCACCAAGCCGACGAUCUGUAGCUGGUCUGAGAGGACGACCAGCCACACUGGGACUGAGACACGGCCCAGACUCCUACGGGAGGCAGCAGUGGGGAAUUUUGGACAAUGGGCGAAAGCCUGAUCCAGCAAUGCCGCGUGCAGGAUGAAGGCCCUCGGGUUGUAAACUGCUUUUGUACGGAACGAAAAGCUUCUGGUUAAUACCUGGAGUCAUGACGGUACCGUAAGAAUAAGCACCGGCUAACUACGUG
rnacentral:rRNA from 1 species